CCUACGGGGGGCUGCAGUGGGGAAUAUUGGACAAUGGGGGGAACCCUGAUCCAGCCAUGCCGCGUGUGUGAAGAAGGCCCUCGGGUUGUAAAGCACUUUCAGUGAGGAAGAACGCCUGGUGGUUAAUACCCAUCAGGAAAGACAUCACUCACAGAAGAAGCACCGGCUAACUCCGUGCCAGCAGCCGCGGUAAUACGGAGGGUGCGAGCGUUAAUCGGAAUUACUGGGCGUAAAGCGCGCGUAGGUGGCUUGAUAAGCCGGUUGUGAAAGCCCCGGGCUCAACCUGGGAACGGCAUCCGGAACUGUCAAGCUAGAGUGCAGGAGAGGAAGGUAGAAUUCCCGGUGUAGCGGUGAAAUGCGUAGAGAUCGGGAGGAAUACCAGUGGCGAAGGCGGCCUUCUGGACUGACACUGACACUGAGGUGCGAAAGUGUGGGUAGCAAACAGGAUUAGAUACCCGGGUAGUC
rnacentral:rRNA from 1 species